GCACAGCAACAAGUCGUCAUCUCACCAUGGGACCCUCCCCCGUGCCUUCCCAGUCUCCACCGCCGCUGUAAUAUUCCUCGUCCAUGAUGACAGGAGAGAAGUAGCGUUGAACUAGCUAGCUACAAUAACCCUGCUGUACGUUUUAAAUCUUGACGCGACUUUGUUUUCCGAAUGAUGAUGCUGGAAGCAGCUAGCCUGUUUAGCUAGCAAGCUAACAACAACAGGAAAGAAAAUGGCGAGUCGGUGAACGGCAGGCCACGCCCCUCGCUUUAAUCGCUGGUGUUAUUAUUCCCUGAGUAUUGUCGGUCAGGAAAAGCCAGCGUGAUAAACAGACCGACGAGAAUUACAUUUACAGCUACUGUACUGGAAAAUAAAAUAUGUCAAGGGUUAUAUGGAAUUUAAAAAUCUCCAACAUGAGGGGGCACUAUGCGAGAGCAGGGGGGCCAGUUUGGACAGCAGGUAUCUGUACAGCUGCUCGGUUUCAGGCAGAGUGACCUGCAGCAGGAAUCCCUCCACCAUCAGCUCCUCCAGCUCAGGACCGAGACCUGGGACAAAUAUGAUGAGCAGCAGAGAGUUCAGGAGCACCCCCUCUGUGCAGGCCUGUUGAACUCUGUGCUGCCAUCGCACCGUCCUCUCGAUGAGGAAACGCAGGGCAUCCCCUUCUGGCAGCCGAACCCUAAUCCUCUGCAGUGAAGCCAACAGGGGCAGGACCUUGUCCAGAGGGGGUUUCCUCGACCGAUGGCAAAGUGGGCAAAGCCAGGCUUGGCCGUACCCGAGGUCUGCUGUUGUUGUAACGCAGCCGCAGUGGAAAACGUCUCGACAAAGCUCACACUGCAUCAUGGCACCCGAAGGGGCCUUUUGGCAAACGCAAACACUAAGUGCACUGCAGUUUUCAGCAGGAACAAGCUUGGACUCAUUUGAAGUACGCAGAGCCAACAAGAUCUCCAUCUCCCUCUGGCGGACCUCAGCAAGAGUGGCCAUCUGUUAGGUAAGAAAAUUGUACUUAAUAAAUAUAUGUGUGUGUGUGUGUGUGUGUGUGUGUGUGUGUGUGUGUGUGUGGUGUGUGUGUUGCCAUAUAGGAUAAAUAAGGGCCAUUUUGGA